AACGCUGGCGGCGUGCCUAAUACAUGCAAGUCGAACGAGUUCUCGUUGAUGAUCGGUGCUUGCACCGAGAUUCAACAUGGAACGAGUGGCGGACGGGUGAGUAACACGUGGGUAACCUGCCCUUAAGUGGGGGAUAACAUUUGGAAACAGAUGCUAAUACCGCAUAGAUCCAAGAACCGCAUGGUUCUUGGCUGAAAGAUGGCGUAAGCUAUCGCUUUUGGAUGGACCCGCGGCGUAUUAGCUAGUUGGUGAGGUAAUGGCUCACCAAGGCGAUGAUACGUAGCCGAACUGAGAGGUUGAUCGGCCACAUUGGGACUGAGACACGGCCCAAACUCCUACGGGAGGCAGCAGUAGGGAAUCUUCCACAAUGGACGCAAGUCUGAUGGAGCAACGCCGCGUGAGUGAAGAAGGCUUUCGGGUCGUAAAACUCUGUUGUUGGAGAAGAAUGGUCGGCAGAGUAACUGUUGUCGGCGUGACGGUAUCCAACCAGAAAGCCACGGCUAACUACGUGCCAGCAGCCGCGGUAAUACGUAGGUGGCAAGCGUUAUCCGGAUUUAUUGGGCGUAAAGCGAGCGCAGGCGGUUUUUUAAGUCUGAUGUGAAAGCCCUCGGCUUAACCGAGGAAGCGCAUCGGAAACUGGGAAACUUGAGUGCAGAAGAGGACAGUGGAACUCCAUGUGUAGCGGUGAAAUGCGUAGAUAUAUGGAAGAACACCAGUGGCGAAGGCGGCUGUCUGGUCUGUAACUGACGCUGAGGCUCGAAAGCAUGGGUAGCGAACAGGAUUAGAUACCCUGGUAGUCCAUGCCGUAAACGAUGAAUGCUAGGUGUUGGAGGGUUUCCGCCCUUCAGUGCCGCAGCUAACGCAUUAAGCAUUCCGCCUGGGGAGUACGACCGCAAGGUUGAAACUCAAAGGAAUUGACGGGGGCCCGCACAAGCGGUGGAGCAUGUGGUUUAAUUCGAAGCAACGCGAAGAACCUUACCAGGUCUUGACAUCUUUUGAUCACCUGAGAGAUCAGGUUUCCCCUUCGGGGGCAAAAUGACAGGUGGUGCAUGGUUGUCGUCAGCUCGUGUCGUGAGAUGUUGGGUUAAGUCCCGCAACGAGCGCAACCCUUAUGACUAGUUGCCAGCAUUUAGUUGGGCACUCUAGUAAGACUGCCGGUGACAAACCGGAGGAAGGUGGGGAUGACGUCAAAUCAUCAUGCCCCUUAUGACCUGGGCUACACACGUGCUACAAUGGAUGGUACAACGAGUUGCGAGACCGCGAGGUCAAGCUAAUCUCUUAAAGCCAUUCUCAGUUCGGACUGUAGGCUGCAACUCGCCUACACGAAGUCGGAAUCGCUAGUAAUCGCGGAUCAGCACGCCGCGGUGAAUACGUUCCCGGGCCUUGUACACACCGCCCGUCACACCAUGAGAGUUUGUAACACCCGAAGCCGGUGGCGUAACCCUUUUAGGGAGCGAGCCGUCUAAGGUGGACAAAUGUUA
rnacentral:rRNA from 1 species